rnacentral:miRNA from 1 species
GAUCACUAAAUUUUGCAAAAGGUUUCCCACGAGUCACUAAAUUUAGUGAUUCCUGGAAAAUCUUUUACAAAGUUCAGUGAU